UCAGUUCGGAUUGAAGGCUGAAAUUCGCCUUCAUGAAGCCGGAAUUGCUAGUAAUGGCAGGUCAGCAUACUGCCGUGAAUACGUUCCCGGGCCUUGUACACACCGCCCGUCACACCAUGAGAGUUGGGAAUACCCGAAGCCUGUGAGCUAACGUUAAGAGGCAGCAGUCGAAGGUAGAAUCAAUGAUUGGGGUGAAGUCGUAACAAGGUAGC
rnacentral:rRNA from 1 species